AUGAAGCCAUCUACGGCUCGUCUUCUCGCGGCUGCAGCGCUCACCGCCGUCCUCGCGCUGGCGAGCGGGGUCGCCGACGCAACGGUGGUGACGACGUGCAAGGCGGCGGCCGGCAGCGACGGGCGCGUGGACUACGACUUCUGCGUGUCGGAGCUGGGCAAGCACCACGACAGCCCCAGCGCGGACACCUGGGGCCUGGCCAAGGUGGCAGCUCUCACCGGCGUCGUCGACGCCGACAACGCGGUCUCCGACAUCAAGGACCUGCUGGCAAGCACGGCACGGACGCCAGGGCGCAGGGGGCGCUGGCGCAGUGCCAGGAGCUGUACGACAGCAUGGGGUUCGCCUUCGCCGAAGCACAGGACGACAUCAACAACCGCGACUACGCCGCCGGGAAGGAGAAGGCCGGGGAAGCCGCGUCCUUGGCGCACCAGUGCGAAGACGCCUUCGCUCAGGCCGGUGUCCCGUCGCCGGUCGCGCAGCACAGCUCCUACGCGGUGCAGAUAG
rnacentral:rRNA from 1 species